rnacentral:rRNA from 1 species
UACGGGGGGGGCAAGCGUUGUUCGGAAUUACUGGGCGUAAAGCGCGUGUAGGCGGCCCUGCAAGUCGGGUGUGAAAUCCCAUGGCUCAACUAUGGAAGUGCACUCGAAACUGCAGGGCUAGAGUCCUGGAGAGGAAGGUGGAAUGCUUGGUGUAGAGGUGAAAUUCGUAGAUAUCAAGCGGAACACCGGUGGCGAAGGCGGCCUUCUGGACAGUGACUGACGCUGAGACGCGAAAGCGUGGGGAGCAAACAGG